UACGGAAGGCAGCAGUGGGGAAGUAUUGCACAAUGGGCGCAAGCCUGAUGCAGCCAUGCCGCGUGUAUGAAGAAGGCCUUCGGGUUGUAAAGUACUUUCAGUCGUGAGGAAGGUGUUAAGGUUAAUAACCUUAGCAAUUGACGUUAGCGACAGAAGAAGCACCGGCUAACUCCGUGCCAGCAGCCGCGGUAAUACGGAGGGUGCGAGCGUUAAUCGGAAUUACUGGGCGUAAAGGGCACGCAGGCGGUUAAUUAAGUUGGAUGUGAAAUCCCCGGGCUUAACCUGGGAAUGGCAUUCAAGACUGGUUAGCUAGAGUCUUGUAGAGGGGGUAGAAUUCCAUGUGUAGCGGUGAAAUGCGUAGAGAUGUGGAGGAAUACCGGUGGCGAAGGCGGCCCCUGGGACAAAGACUGACGCUCAUGUGCGAAAGCGUGGGGAGCAAAACAGGGAUUAGAUACC
rnacentral:rRNA from 1 species